GGGGAAUUUUCCGCAAUGGGCGAAAGCCUGACGGAGCAAUACCGCGUGAGGGAGGAAUGCCUUUGGGUUGUAAACCUCUUUUCUCAGGGAAGAAGAUCUGACGGCACCUGAGGAAUAAGUAUCGGCUAACUCCGUGCCAGCAGCCGCGGUAAUACGGAGGAUGCAAGCGUUAUCCGGAAUCAUUGGGCGUAAAGCGUCCGCAGGUGGUUUCCAAAGUCUGCUGUUAAAGACUGGAGCUCAACUCCGGAACGGCGGUGGAAACUUGGAAACUAGAGUUCGGUAGGGGUAGCAGGAAUUCCCAGUGUAGCGGUGAAAUGCGUAGAUAUUGGGAAGAACAUCGGUGGCGAAGGCGUGCUACUGGACCGUAACUGACACUCAGGGACGAAAGCUAGGGGAGCGAAAGGGAUUAGAUACCCCUGUAGUCCUAGCUGUAAACGAUGGAAACUAGGUGUGGCUUG
rnacentral:rRNA from 1 species